UGGCUCAGUUGGUAGAGCAUGGUGUUUGCAACGCCAGGGUUGUGGGUUCGGUUCCCAU
rfam:Salmo salar isolate Sally breed double haploid chromosome ssa06, whole genome shotgun sequence.